GGUGGCUCAGUGGUUGAGCACUUGCCUUGCAUGCAUGAGGCCCUGGGUUCAAUUCCUCAGCACCA
rfam:Dipodomys ordii contig_4256, whole genome shotgun sequence.